rnacentral:lncRNA from 1 species
UGGUGUCCCUCAAGCAGAAUCACCAGCCAUGACUCCGGAAUCUAAUGCAACUCCAUCUUUGACUCCGCCAUCUGAUACUGCCGGAGCUCCAACUACAAAUUCAGGAAUUCGACCUGUUGUGAACCCGUCUGCUGCAAGCCCCGUGUUCAGUUUUUCCCCAGCAUUUCUUUUAGCUCUGCUUGGAGCUACAUUCUUAAAGUACUAUUACUAGUUUUUUGGAAGCGUCCUGAUCAUGUCACCAAAUUUCAGAACUAUACUUCUGGAAAUAGGCUUUGUGUGAGUUACUGGAUUUCCUAUAUUAUUUACCUAAUUUUUUACGAUUUUGUUUCUGUAAAGAUACAUAUUCUUUGGUGUGAAAUAUAUUGUUUUUGGCUUUCAUUGCUAAUGUUUGUAUUGUAAGAUGCAUAUUUUAGAUUAAUUUACUCUGUAUUGCCAUCUUCAUAUGGAUAGUUUCUUCUCUUUUAAGCUGCUGUCACAUUAUACUUCAAUUAAGAAAAAUUAUAUACUUUGAUUAAGAAAAAUUUAUAAUGAUUAAUUAGAUUUCAAAAAUCGAAUAGCCGGUCAUAUCCGGUCAUAUUGUUAGGGAUUAAUCGGAAAUUAAUAGGUUAAAUCGGGAAUUUUUAGAACAGAGGAACCAACCAGUAUGUUGACUAAGAUGUUUGCUAAGCAUUGACUUGACUCCUCCGCUCUUGGCGGCUCUUACCUGUCUUUUACUUUUCUUACACAAAUUAUAUCUCUCUCUCCCUCUCUAAUAUUGACUCUACUCAUCCAAGAAAAACUCCAUGGCCAUGGAUUCAGCUUUUCAAGGUGUAAUAGCUGCAACCCUAAGCUUCAUCAUCGUAACUCUCCUCUUCGCCAUCCUCAUCUUCGUUUGCAAAAAAUCUAAAACUAACAACAUUACACGACCCCGAAACCCGACACGAACACGAACCGUUCCCAGCUCUGUUUCGCUGACCGAAACAGCCAGCUUUGACCCAAGCCUGCCUUCCUUUUCUCUCUCUGACCUCGUAAAAGCCACCCAAAAUUUCUCGCCGGAUCUCAUCAUCGGCGACGGAAGCUUUGGAUUAGUUUACAAGGCAAAUUUAUGGAAUUCUAAUAUAGUAGCGGUCAAGAAAUUGUCCGCCGAUGCUUUCCAGGGUUUCCGAGAAUUUCGCGCUGAAAUGGAAACCCUGGGAAAGAUACAGCACCCGAACAUCGUUAAGAUGCUCGGGUACUGUGCCACCAAUCUGGAUCGGAUUCUGAUUUACGAGUUUAUCGAGAAAGGGAGUUUGGACCAAUGGCUAUGCGACACGUCACCGGACUCUAUGUCAGAAACCAAAUUACCGUUAUCUUGGGAAACGAGAUUGAGUAUUAUUGGUGACGUGGCAAGAGGGCUAUGUUUUAUGCACAAUUUGGAGACUCCUAUUAUUCAUAGAGAUAUAAAGGCUAGUAAUGUAUUGCUUGAUUCCAAAUUUGGGGCUCAUAUUGCUGAUUUUGGAUUAGCUAGGAGGAUGGAAAGUACGGAUUCACACGUGUCCACGCAGGUUGCGGGAACGAUGGGCUAUAUGCCGCCUGAGUAUUUUCACGGCUCCACCAUCGCGACGCCAAUGGGAGAUGUUUAUAGUUUCGGAGUGUUGAUGUUGGAGAUUGCAACCGGGAGGCGGCCUAAUUGGCCUUUUAAGGAUGAUGGUGGCAAGGACAUUAGAAUAGUGGAAUGGUGCAAAAAAAUGGUCCAACAAAAUUCAGAAAUGAAGAUUAUUGAUAGUGCCAUUUUGAAAGAGGACUUGAAAGAGAAACAGGUUGUGGAGUUUUUCAGGAUUGCUUUGUUGUGUGUAGAAGAAUCGGCUCCUAAGCAUAGGCCUUCGAUGAUUGAGGUAGUUGAGUUGUUGGAUGGUAUUUCUAGAUUAGAGUAAAAUGUUUGCUUCUUUCAGAAUUUGCAAAUGUCUGAUUCUGCAUUUCUAGUCAUCCUGUUUAAUAUAAAUACUAUUAGGCACUCCAUAUGAUUUCAGAGGGCUUAUAAUUGGAUUAAAACUAGCUGUAUUUGCUUCGGUUAUAUGUGAAUGCAAGAGAUUUUGUGAUUGGCGCAAUGAAAGUAUAUAUUUAGCUAUCUACCAAGUACAUACUUAAUAUGCUGCGAUCACAAGUUUGUACUUGAAUGCAGUGCUGAUAUCAAUUUAUGACAUCAACUUGAAUCUCUGUAUUCUAAUAAUGUAGAAACUUUAUGGUUCAGCUCUGUUUAUUCUUUUGAGUUUGAUAACACGAGUUUUCAGUCCGUCCAGAGGUCAUGUUGUUAAUUGUUAGAAUGCAAUAUGAUCAAUUUGGGCCUUAUUCUAAUACCUCAAGGUUUUCGAUAGACUGGUUCCCAACAAAAACUGUAAUAUUACUUGCGAUUUGGGAGCUAUGAACAACUGAAAAGCUUAUGCUCACACUUUGUUGUUAGAUUUACGGGAAGUUAGCCGGCCAGUGUAAACAAACAAAUACAAAAACUUUGAGCUAUAGCGAAUAAGGACUCAUCAGUUAUGCUACAUGCAACAGUACAGAGACUAUAGUCCGAGUAAGAGUUGCAAAUAUCAGAGCUGUAACAGUAUGAGAUGUGCCAUAUUAAGAAUACUGGGUUGAGGCAAAAAAUUUGUUUUGCGGGCGAAAUCUAGUACUCGUGGCAUGUUUGAGUGGUGAGUGAUGGAGGAUUUGGCACCAAGCAACAGCAAAUUAUGAACAGGACAGGGCACCACAAUAAAAGAUUAAAUGUAAAGAAUAACAUAAUUUUUAGAUUUACAACUGAUUUCUUGCUGAUGUCAUUUAGUAUGAGCAGAACUAAAUUUAUUGGAGAAUACGUAGUUUGUUGUUUGAGGUUGAAGAAUACGGCCAGCAGAACAAUUACGUGAGACAAGCAGAAAACUGUUAUAUGAAAGUCCUGCCAUCUGAUACUGCCAGAGCUCCAACUACAAAUUCAGGAAUUCGACCUGUUGUGAACCCGUCUGCUGCAAGCCCCCUGUUCAGUUUUUCCCCAGCAUUUCUUUUAGCACUGCUUGGAGCUACAUUUUUAAAGUACUAUUACUAGUUUUUUGGGAGCCUCGUAAUCAUGUC